AUCUGUUAUUUUUAGGUACUCUACUGGGAGCAGAAGACAGAGGACUUUGCUGACACAGAGCAGUUCAGUUGUUCUGUUUUGACUUCGGGUGGCAUUGUUUUGACAGUCCCAAACUAGAAACUCCACCGAGUCUGAAUAAUUUCUUUUUCUCAGUUUCAGACUUAUCGCUUCUCACUGUGAGCCAGUGACAGCCCACUUUAAUGACAAGAAGUCAUUCAAAGGUCUGUCGGAGAUUGAAAAUGGAUCUCUCCCCAGAAAUAUUCUUUGUGCCAGGAAAAUAACAAUCAAACAUCUCUUCUUCAAGAGUUUUGAACGCCUGGAACACACACUUCCUUCCGAGCCGGUGAGGUUGAUGGAGGAUGAAUGAUGGAGGAUACGUGGAAAGACCAUUUAAAAAUCUCAAUUUAACAUUUAACCUGAAAGACCAGGCAGGAUUGGGCAUGGUGAAAUCUGUCUUGAAUCACGGAAUGGUGACUGAAUCCUAAAAUCAACAACUCAACAAUCAAUGCUCCACUCUUCAUGAACCAGCCAGAGAUACUGAUCCAUGUAACUUUUAACUUUUAUCUUUUUUUUGGACUCAUCUCCUAUUCCUAAUUUGUGCGUUUGCUGCAUUUUUUUUUUCUUUUCUUACUUAGUAACUUAUAAACUCACUCAUUUGUUAACUCAAGAAAGCCUGGCUAAAUUGACUCCUUUUAAAACAUAAAAGCAUUUGAUCUGGAAGAAAGGCAUUCACAGGGAAUAGAUCCUUGCUGGAAAAACUCAGCAGAUCUGGCAGUAUUUAUGGACAGAGAAGCAGAGUUAAUGUUUCAAGUUCAAAAACUGCUCAUUGGAAGAAUUCCAUAGAAGAGACUUUGUCCCGUGUAGUGAUUGGAUUGAGGUUGGCCAGGCGGAUCUUGAGUAUGAGUUCCCUGAUUGGGCCUGUAACCUCGACCAAUGAGGGAGUCCUGGCUGACAGAUAUAAAAAGGAGUAUCAGAGAUUCUCUUCACUCUAGGGCCUAGCUCUCAACUACCUAGUCAGUCCAUGUACUGUGCGUGUGUAAAUAAAGGGUGACUUGGUGACAGGAUACCACCCUCCAUGGAGUUAUUUCAGCCACAAAACAUUAACCGUUUCUAUCUCCACAGGUGCUGCCAGGCCUACCAAGUCUGUGGGGUUUUUUUAAAUUCCAGAUUUCCACCAUCUAUGGUAUAUUACUUUUUAAAAUAACCUUGCUGUGACCACUCUUUGAGGGGUGACAGCUGAAUAAAGAAGGGGAGUUAGUUCAUCCCCCCUCACAGGAGAGCUUUAAUAUUUGGCGUAUCAGUCUGGAAUCUGAAUAAUUUGGGGAACCUGGCUCAGGUCUGUUCAUAACAGAGUCUGAUUAACAACCUUGUGAUAGUGGGCAGGAUUCCUGAGUUGGGCACGUCUGGUUCCCAGUUUAACUGGGGACACUUUUUCCCUCACAGCAGGAAUCCAAAGAAGGCUCUUCCACUUGAUUCUCCCACACACCCUCACUUUCUAUUAUACCCACUACAGUGGGUUCAAUUAAAUUUCGCCCGUCUAUUCUGGUUCUCCACUGUUCUUGUUAAGUAUUUCAAACAAAGAACAAAGAACAAUACAGCACAGGAACAUGCCC